GACGAACGCUGGCGGCGUGCUUAACACAUGCAAGUCGAACGGAGAGGCCCUGCUUUUGUGGGGUGCUCGAGUGGCGAACGGGUGAGUAACACGUGAGUAACCUGCCCUUGACUUUGGGAUAACUUCAGGAAACUGGGGCUAAUACCGGAUAGGAGCUCCUGCUGCAUGGUGGGGGUUGGAAAGUUUCGGCGGUUGGGGAUGGACUCGCGGCUUAUCAGCUUGUUGGUGGGGUAGUGGCUUACCAAGGCUUUGACGGGUAGCCGGCCUGAGAGGGUGACCGGCCACAUUGGGACUGAGAUACGGCACAGACUACUACGGGAGGCAGCAGUGGGGAAUAUUGCACAAUGGGCGGAAGCCUGAUGCAGCAACGCCGCGUGCGGGAUGACGGCCUUCGGGUUGUAAACCGCUUUCGCCUGUGACGAAGCGUGAGUGACGGUAAUGGGUAAAGAAGCACCGGCUAACUACGUG
rnacentral:rRNA from 1 species